rnacentral:rRNA from 1 species
GCAAGUCGAACGGUAACAGGCAAAGAGCUUGCUCUUUGUGCUGACGAGUGGCGGACGGGUGAGUAAUGCUUGGGAAGCUGCCUAGAGGAGGGGGAUAACAGUUGGAAACGACUGCUAAUACCGCAUAUAUUCUUCGGAAGAAAGCAGGGGAACUUCGGUCCUUGCGCCUUUAGAUGCGCCCAAGUGAGAUUAGCUAGUUGGUAGGGUAAUGGCCUACCAAGACUGUGAUCAAUAGCUGAUUUGAGAGGAUGAUC